rnacentral:rRNA from 1 species
AUUGAACGCUGGCGGCAGGCUUAACACAUGCAAGUCGAACGGUAACAGGAAAUAGCUUGCUAUUUUGCUGACGAGUGGCGGACGGGUGAGUAAUGCUUGGGAAUUUACCUUGCUGUGGGGGACAACAGUUGGAAACGACUGCUAAUACCGCAUAAUGUCUUCGGACCAAAGGUGGCCUCUAUUUAUAUGCUAUCGCGACAAGAUGAGCCCAAGUGGGAUUAGCUAGUUGGUAAGGUAAUGGCUUACCAAGGCGACGAUCCCUAGCUGGUCUUAGAGGAUGACCAGCCACACUGGAACUGAGACACGGUCCAGACUCCUACGGGAGGCAGCAGUGGGGAAUAUUGCACAAUGGGGGAAACCCUGAUGCAGCCAUGCCGCGUGUGUGAAGAAGGCUUUCGGGUUGUAAAGCACUUUCAGCGAGGAGGAAA